rnacentral:miRNA from 1 species
UCCAAGCUGGGUCCUGUGCCAGG